rnacentral:lncRNA from 1 species
CGUGGUCUCCGCCGCCAGCCGCCGCGGCUCGGCACCCCGAGGGCGUGGUCAGUAGGAGGACACGCCCAGGGGCGGGGCAGUCCCUCAGGGCACGCCCCCGUCGCGCUUUAAAGGUGCCGCGCCUCUCUGCCACGCUGGAGGCGUGUGGGCAACGUUGUGGACUAUUUCAUGUUGUCCAAGCUGGCCUCACAUUCCUUAUGUAUCAAAGGACUUCUCACCCUCCUACUUCCACCUCCCAAGUGCCUGAGCCAGGUGCUGGAAUUAAAAGCCUAUAACCAAGAGCUUGAUACAGACUUAACUGAGCACUUGCUCAGUGCCAGGCAACGACUCCUUUGCGCCCCCUGCAGUUCACAGUCUUCACGUCACUUGUGGCGACUGAAGCGGAAGAGGUAAGGGGUAAGGCACCAUCACGGUCCAGAUCCCAGAUCGUGAGGAGAACGCAGAGAGGUGAUACUCCCUGCCCCGCAGGACCUCAGUCCGAAGAGGAAGCCACGGAGAAGGAAAGGGAAGGGUGUUCAAGAUGCACAGUGUGGGUGCACAACGAAUUCCAGCACUUGGGAGGCUGAGGCAGGAGGAUCACGAGUUUAAGUCAUCCUGUGUUGCACAGGGAAUUUGAGAUCAGCCGAGGCUUCAUGAGACUCUGUCUGAAAGCUCCAAAAAGAAGAAAAACUAG